GACGAACGCUGGCGGCGUGCUUAACACAUGCAAGUCGAACGGAAAGGCCCUGCUUUUGUGGUGUGCUCGAGUGGCGAACGGGUGAGUAACACGUGAGUAACCUGCCCUUGACUUUGGGAUAACUUCAGGAAACUGGGGCUAAUACCGGAUAGGAGCUCCUGCUGCAUGGUGGGGGUUGGAAAGUUUCGGCGGUUGGGGAUGGACUCGCGGCUUAUCAGCUUGUUGGUGGGGUAGUGGCUUACCAAGGCUUUGACGGGUAGCCGGCCUGAGAGGGUGACCGGCCACAUUGGGACUGAGAUACGGACCAGAGUCCUACGGGAGGCAGCAGUGGGGAAUAUUGCACAAUGGGCGGAAGCCUGAUGAAGCAACGCCGCGUGCGGGAUGACGGCCUUCGGGUUGUAAACCGCUUUAGCCUGUGACGAAGCGUGAGUGACGGUAAUGGGUAAAGAAGCACCGGCUAACUACGUG
rnacentral:rRNA from 1 species